rnacentral:rRNA from 1 species
CCUACGGGUGGCAGCAGUGCGGAAUAUUGGUCAAUGGACGAGAGUCUGAACCAGCCAAGUAGCGUGAAGGAUGACUGCCCUAUGGGUUGUAAACUUCUUUUAUAUGGGAAUAAAAUGUUCCACGUGUGGGAUUUUGUAUGUACCAUAUGAAUAAGGAUCGGCUAACUCCGUGCCAGCAGCCGCGGUAAUACGGAGGAUCCGAGCGUUAUCCGGAUUUAUUGGGUUUAAAGGGAGCGUAGGUGGAUUGUUAAGUCAGUUGUGAAAGUUUGCGGCUCAACCGUAAAAUUGCAGUUGAAACUGGCAGUCUUGAGUACAGUAGAGGUGGGCGGAAUUCGUGGUGUAGCGGUGAAAUACUUAGAUAUCACGAAGAACUCCGAUUGCGAAGGCAGUUCACUGGACUGCAACUGACACUGAGGCUCGAAAGUGUGGGUAUCAAACAGGAUUAGAUACCCCAGUAGUC